rnacentral:rRNA from 1 species
UACGUAGGGUGCGAGCGUUAAUCGGAAUUACUGGGCGUAAAGCGUGCGCAGGCGGUUGUGUAAGACAGGUGUGAAAUCCCCGGGCUUAACCUGGGAACUGCGCUUGUGACUGCACGGCUAGAGUACGGCAGAGGGGGGUGGAAUUCCGCGUGUAGCAGUGAAAUGCGUAGAUAUGCGGAGGAACACCGAUGGCGAAGGCAAUCCCCUGGGCUGGUACUGACGCUGAUGCGCGAAAGCGUGGGUAGCAAGCGGG